rnacentral:rRNA from 1 species
CCUACGGGCGGCAGCAGUGGGGAAUAUUGCACAAUGGGGGAAACCCUGAUGCAGCGACGCCGCGUGAGUGAAGAAGUAUUUCGGUACGUAAAGCUCUAUCAGCAGGGAAGAAAAUGACGGCACCUGACUAAUAAGCCCCGGCUAAAUACGUGCCAGCAGCCGCGGUAAUACGCAGGGGGCAAGCGUUAUCCGGAUUUACUGGGCGUAAAGGGAGCGUAGACGGCGGCGCAAGGAAGGAGUGAAAUCCCAUGGCUUAACCAUGGAACUGCUUUGGAAACUGUGCAGCUAGAGUGCAGGAGAGGUAAGCGGAAUUCCUGGUGUAGCGGUGAAAUGCGUAGAUAUUAGGAGGAACACCAGUGGCGAAGGCGGCUUACUGGACUGUAACUGACGUUGAGGCUCGAAAGCGUGGGGAGCAAACAGGAUUAGAUACCCCGGUAGUC